rnacentral:rRNA from 1 species
GGAGUUAGCCGGUGCUUCUUCUGUGAGUGAUGUCCUUCCUGCCGGCUAUUAACCCGCAGGCCUUCUUCCUCACUGAAAGUGCUUUACAACCCGAAGGCCUUCUUCACACACGCGGCAUGGCUGGAUCAGGGUUGCCCCCAUUGUCCAAUAUUCCCCACUGCUGCCUCCCGUAGGAGUCUGGGCCGUGUCUCAGUCCCAGUGUGGCUGAUCAUCCUCUCAGACCAGCUACGGAUCGUCGCCUUGGUGAGCCGUUACCUCACCAACCAGCUAAUCCGACAUAGGCUCAUCCGAUAGCGCGAGGCCCGAAGGUCCCCCGCUUUCCCCCGUAGGGCGUAUGCGGUAUUAGCCUGGGUUUCCCCAGGUUAUCCCCCACUACCGGGCAGAUUCCUAUGCAUUACUCACCCGUCCGCCGCUCGCCACCAGGGAGCAAGCUCCCCGUGCUGCCGCUCGACUUGCAUGUGUUAGGCUCGCCGCCACGCGUUCAAUCUGAGCCAUGAUACAAACUACUGA